rnacentral:rRNA from 1 species
CAGCCGCCGCGGUAAUACCGGCGGCCCGAGUGGCGGUCACUAUUAUUGGGCUUAAAGCGUCCGUAGCCGGGUUGGGAAGUCCUCCGGGAAAUCUGGCCGCUUAACGGUCAGAAUGCCGGAGGAUACUCCCAGCCUAGGGAGCGGGAGAGGCCGAGGGUAUUCCCGGAGUAGGGGUGAAAUCCUAUAAGCCCGGGAGGACCACCUGUGGCGAAGGCGCUCGGCUGGAACGCGUCCGACGGUGAGGGACGAAGGCCAGGGGAGCAAACCGGAUUAGAUACCCGGGUAGUCCUGGCUGUAAACGAUGCGGACUUUGUGUCGGACAAGCUAUGAGCUUGUCCGGUGCCGGAGGGAAACCGUUAAGUCCGCCGCCUGGGGAGUACGGCCGCAAGGCUGAAACUUAAAGGAAUUGGCGGG